ACCCUUUGUUUCUAUUAGAGUCGCGAGCUUGUUGUAGUCGGUCCUAAAGGGAAAACCUUGCUGCUUACUCGCUAUAUCCCCGCGUCCUUGCACGGCUCGUUUUCUUUGAGCCCUGCUUCUCCCUUCCCCCUCUCCCCUGGAACCGACCGUUUGGAGUAUAGCCAAGUGGUAAGGCAUCGGUUUUUGGUACCGGCAUGCAAAGGUUCGAAUCCUUUUACUCUAGAGCAUACUUAUUAUAGAAAAUCGAAAAAGAAAAAGAAAGUAUCAUCCCUAAUAAAUAAAUGAAAGUAGAUUUACAUUCUUUUUUUAUUUCUAGGGGGAAUGUUGAGGCAAACUUACGAUGCUGACAAGCUGAUUAGGUGCCGAGUUGGAUUAGACAUCGCAGGUUUCAGUUUAAGAAUUGAGAAGAGGUUAAGAACCUAGUUGAAUCCACUGCGAGGGGAAGUGCUGAAGUGAAGAAAAGCCCCAAUUUUGGAGAGGAUUGCAUAAUUGGAGAGACUGCAAGAAUUAGAGCAAAGCCGUGAUCUGGUAGGCGACUGGUACAAGUGCUAGACUGGAGCUAGACAAGAAGCGUUGAGCAGGAACUUGAGCAAUUCAAGAAACCUUAGAAGAAACUGGAUAUGUGGCAACAAGAAGGGCUUAGCAAGAAUCUUGAAACAGGUAUGAUACCGGCACAUAUCAGCCUGAUGUGAUGUACCUGAAUUCAUUCAUGUUCUGUGGAGUCUUUUGUUUUUUUAAUAUUCUGAUUUAGUCUCAGUUUAAUUAGGAAGCGAAUGCGGUUUCAAGAUGAACUCAACCUCGAAAAGGAAUUCAAUUAGCUGUGCAGUUAGCCCUUUUAUCUCUCAUAAUUGGUGGAAAUGGAUAUUGCCUGUCACUUGAAAAUAAGGUUGUUUCAUUUAGAAUUCAGCAAAUUCUAAAAUUGUUGUUAAACAGGUUGACGUUCCACUGGGAAUGGAAUAACUAAGGCUUUUGGCAGUUUGUGGAUCGAGAUGUGAUUCGCUUUUUGAGUAAUAGUUUCUUUCAUUUGGUGUGCUCUUCCUGGAACCGGUAAUAGGCUCGGUGCAUUCUACUUUGCUGUUAUGGUAUUUACAAUCCUUGAAUUGUUUGAACCUGAUUCUCAUUAAUGGUCACUAUAUUUGCUCCCAAAUGCGCUUAUUUUGAUUGUCUUUCUGGUAUUUGGAUUCUAUUUAUUUCAACCACCAACACUCAUAUUCUUAGCUCUUUUUUCUUCUUGGGAUUUGGCUAGAAAUACUGUAACAACACACACUCAUACACACAGAGUCACAUAGAGGCCAGGACUAAUCUGUCUUCAUGGUCUGGAGGGUAUUUGGGAUAUCGUGGAGGUAACUGACGAUGAAUUCGUCUCUUGCCUCACCGAUCUGAACACGGAGUUUCCGAAGCUACAAGAGUGCUUGGUUAAACGGUGCCAUUAAGUUUAAACUGUCUUUAAACUUACUACUUCAAGUGCAAUUAUCAACUCCUUGCAAAAUUGUUGGCUUUCUCAUCUACAAAAGGCAACUCUGGUAUUCAAGGAAACAGAUAAUUAGGUUCCACUCACUACGUCAACUAAAGCAACUGCAUCUGGAGAACUUACCAGGGAAAAUAGAAGAAAUAAUGACGUAGUACGAGGGGAUUUUUUGCUAACUAUUUCCAUCCUGUGUUCAGUUCCAAUUUCGUAGUAGGAGACAGACUAAAAGUCAAUAGAUUCCUGUCCUUUUCUAUAGAAAUAGGCUUGGUCAAGUGCUUAAAAAAGAGGUGAUCCGAAUGAUUUCAAUGAAUUGCUAUUGGUCAGAUUGGAACAAUUGGAUUCGAAAGGAAAGAAAGACUGUGAACGAAGAGGGCCGCCCAUGAUCGAUUGGAUUCGGCAAAUAAAGUAGAGGGCCUGCCCGUGUCACCACCAGUCCACCGAACCAGCUGCAGAUCGCUAACUCUCUCGUCGACGCCCGGAACUUAUGUACGAGUUAAGAAUGAAUUGUUCCCGAGUAGAGAGGGCAGGAUAAGGAUUCAGUAAGAAGGAGAGUCUACUUAUGGAAAUGCCAUCCUCUCUUUCCUCAGUAACGGAGUGACUAGCUACCCCGACUUUUUAUUCCAGUUCCAUUCUUACUGGUGCAAGAGUCCAAAGUGCAUCUUCCAACUCCCUAACUGCGUCUUCCAUGAAGUUCGGGAGACCCCUCACGUGUGCCGCUGCCCGUGAGACUCGCCUUUGUACACUUUGCGCACCGCUUCGACUAGACCCCGCUACUACCUCGUAUCCAAGUAUCUGCGAUCUAGCUCAUUCUUUUUUAAGCCCUGCAAGCCUAAUAGAACCUUGUUUCCUGGGCCAGGUCAGCCUAUAAGUAAGUAAGUAGGGCUGAAGACAAUUUGUUUGUUAGUUUUUCAAUCUUCUUCCUUCUAUGCUUAGAGUAAGUGGAAAUGACCUCCUUGGUCAGCAAGUAAGCGAGCGGUAGUUCGGUCUCCGACAAGUGAGGCCGAAUAGCCCCCGGUGUCCUUUUCCUUCUAAACUAGCUGCUCUCGCUUGACUCUUCUAGUGAGCAAGCAAACUGGUCGGGGAACAGGGUCGGAUCAAAGUAAGGAAUGGGAAUAGCACUCACUUGUUGAAGGUAAGCCAGAAACAGGGGUUGUCCUCUCCCUUAAGUCCUAGUCCAUCUUUUCGUGCCCCAAAGGGGAAGUCAAGCAAUAAUGAGGGAACUUGACCCACACCUGACGAAAGAGUUUGGUAGCUCGAAGGAAGCAGAAGCAAAACCUGCUUUCUUUCUGUCCCAACCUCCAAGGGUUGCUCCCUGUAUGACAUAGUCCAUUGGAUUGGGGCAAUGGUACGCACCUAUGUUUGGUGUCCCCUCUCUCACUUCCUCGUCAGAUCCUGGUCCCAAAGGGCAAUACAUUGAGUCGGAAAGACGGGCUUUCGUAAAUUCCAUUCUGUAGCCGAACUAGCCCCUGGAUCAGCUCUCAUAGUGGGGGAAUCAGAGUCAAGUUAGGCGCAGGGGUUAACAUCAUUCGUCGUGAUUGGAUCAAUCAGACUCCCCCACAGGAAAUGCCAAGGGGCGCCCUUUCUCAUUAUCAUCUACCGCCCAUUUCUUCAUCAUCCGCUGCUGCCUUAAGUGCGUAAAGUAGGCUCAGCUUCUUAGGUUUAUAAAUAUCUUGUAGUAGCUGAAGGUAGUCCAGUCCGCUUGUUAGAUUGAAUUGAAUCUUAUAUAACCUACAUAGCUAAAGAGAAAAUCAUAAUAGUCUAAGUGGACCUCUCAAAGGUAUAAAUAAGUAGACAUUAGUCUUACUGGUUCGGUCUUUUUCUUUUUUUGUUAUGAUGCCCACAUUUCAUACUUCUCAAUUCUUAUUUAUUCAAGGGUUCGUAUGUACUGAGUGACUCUAGGUCUAUUCAGAUGCUGCUUCAAGAGAGCUUUAUUCCGCCUUUGUAUGACCGUCUUCCCUUCCUGUCUAUCUCCCCUUCGGUCAGGUAGUUCUGCUUCCGAUGCCGGAGGAGCAGGGUGGGAUAGAAGGGUAGUUUCUGAGUUUGAGAUGUCUGAGCUUGGAGGUUCCGCUUCUCUAAUGUGAUAAUAAAGCAACAAGCAACGCCGCUCCCGUGCGCUCAUCCCUUGCUUGUUCUUGAGCGCUAGUCAUUCAUCCCUAGCUGGGUUCUUGGGAUAUCUUGAUUCUCUUUAUGAUGAUGUAAGGGUCAGAUGAAUAAGGAAUCGAUCGGAAGUUCGCGCCAAUCUGCCGAAUAGGAAAGCGCCCUCAUCACUUUCCUCCGGGAGAAUGCCGACGUGUUCGCUUGGGAGCCGUCGGACCUUCCCGGAGUCCCUAGGGAGGUGAUUGAGCAUCGACUCGCGGUGCGCCCGGACGCCCGCCCCAUCAAGCAGAAGAUCCGCCGGCAAGCGCAGGAGUGCAAGGAUUUCAUCAAGCAAGAGGUGGACAAGCUCAAGGCUGCGGGGGCUAUCAAGGAAGUUCUGUACCCCACUUGGUUAGCUACCCUGUAGUAGUACCCAAGGCGGGAAAUAAGCUUCGCAUGUGUGUAGAUUUAACUGAUCUUAACCGUGCGUGUCCCAAGGAUCCUUUCCCUGUACCCCGUAUCGAUCAAAUAGUUGAUUCCACUGCUGGUUGCGACUUGCUGAGCUUUUUAGAUGCUUUUUCCGGCUACCAUCAAAUUAAGAUGGCGGUCGAAGACGAGGAGAAAACAGCGUUCAUCACCCCGGUUGGCUGCUACUGUACACGUGCAUGCCUUUCGGGUUGAAGAACGCGGGCUCAACAUUCCAGCGCGCACUGCGAGUGUUUGGGACCCUAGCUAGGCCGCAACGUGGAGGCCUACAUGGACGAUAUCGUCAUCAAGUCGAAGCGCGGAGACUCGCUGAUUAAUGACCUGCGGGAAACGUUUGAUAACCUCCGCAGGAUCAAACUCAAGCUGAACCCUGAGAAGUGCACCUUUGGUGUAGACUCGGGCCAGCUUCUGGGUUUCUUGGUUUCGCACAGGGGGAUUCAAGCCAACCCACAGAAGAUAGAAGCUAUCGAGAAGAUGGAGGCUCCCCGCAAGGUGAAGGAUGUCCAGCGCCUCAACGGCUGCGUUGCCGCGCUGGGCCACUUCAUCUCAAGGUUGGGCGAACGCGCCCUACCUUUCUUCAAGGUGAUGUAGAAGAAGGGUCCGAUUGAGUGGACCCCCGAGGCCGAGGCGGCGUUCCAGGAUCUCAAGCUGUACCUGAAGUCACCACCCGUCCUCGUCGCCCCCAAGCCGAGCGAGCCGCUGCUACUCUACCUAGUAGCGACUGACCAGGUGGUCAGCUCGGUGCUAGUUGCCGAAAGGGAGGAAGACGUUCCGGGGACUGAGGCUGCGGGACAGGGGGCAACCUCCUUGGACCCAGGGACCACCCUCGAGCCGGCAGCGUCGGCACCGCGCAAGCGGCUCAUGCAGCACCCGAUGUACUUCGUCAGCACGGUGCUGCGCGACGCCCAUACGAGGUACCCGCAGGUGCAGAAGCUCCUCCUGGGGAUUCUGCUCGCGUCCCGCAAGCUACGUCACUACUUCCAGGCGCACCGCGUCACGGUGGUGUCGGGGUUCUACCUUGAGCGAGCCCUCACCAACCGUGAAGCCACCGGGAGGGUGGCCGAGUGGAGGAUGGAGCUGUCGGAGUUUGAACUGCACUUCACCAACUCCAAGAGCAUCAAGAGUGCGGCCCUGGCAGACUUCGUCGCGGAGUGGACAUCAACGGGUGUAGAAGAGGAGGAGCCGGAGACCAGCCUGCCGAGCAAGCUGGACGAAGGCCACUGGAUCUUGUACUUCGACGGCGCAUUCAGCCUCCAGGGAGCUGGCGCUGGUGUCGUCAUCGAGUCACCGAUGAGAGAUUAGUUGAGGUUUGCUAUCCAACUCAAUUUCCCGAACUCCACUAACAACACGGCAGAGUACGAGGGUCUGCUCGCCGGGUUGCGGGCAGCAUUAGCCCUGGACAUCACGCGCCUGGUCGUUCGUGGGGACUCCCAGCCUGUGAUCAAUCAGGUUAACAAGGACUACGACUGCCCGCAGAUGGCACCGUACGUGGAGGAAGUCCACAAGUUAGAACGCAAGUUCAAGGGUUUGCGAUUCGAGCACGUCAAGCAGAAGGACAACUUCGCGGCUGACGAGCUGUCCAAGAUGGCAGCAGAACGCCGGAAGCCUCCGCGGGGGUGUUCUGGCACAGGCAAGCUGCCCCCUCAGUCGCCCCCGAGCCAGCUGCCGGGGAAGCCCCUCCGGCAACCGAAGGAAACCCCGCAACAGCAGGGGUCCAUGCCGCUGACGUAGCGGCAUGCGAUGGCAGGCCUCCCUGGGCGGUGGAAAUCGCUCGCUACCUGAAGGGGGAGGCCCUCCCGGAAGACGACGUCGCCGCGGAGCGAGUGGCCUGGCGUGCCAAAAUGUACGCCAUGUUGGACGGGAACCUCUACCGCAGGCGUGCAAAUGGAGUCAAGCUCCUCUGCAUGCCCCAAGACGAAGGGCGCGCACUGUUGGAGGAGAUACAUCGAGGCACAUGCUCCCACCAUGUGGCCUCCCGGGCGCUGGCCGGCAAGGCGUUUCGGCAUGGUUUCUACUGGCCCACGGCCCUGGCCGAUGCGGAGCAGCUAGUGAAGACUUGUGAGGCGUGCCAGUUCCACGCAAAGAAGAGUAACCUGCAGGUCAUCCGGUCCUCGUGGCCAUUCGCGGUCUGGGGGCUGGACAUCGUCAGCAAGCUGCCGAGAGCGGUUGGCGGCUACGAGUACUUGCUCGUGGCCAUUGACAAAUUCUCCAACUGGGUGGAAGUGGAACCAGUGCGGAAGGUGACCGCCUAGGCGGCCAUCAAGUUCUUCAAGAGCAUUGUGUGCCGGUUUGGUGUGCCUAACGGCAUCAUCACCGACAACGGCACGCAAUUCACGAGCGCGGUGUUCCAGGCCUACUGUGAGGGCAUGGGCACCAGGAUACACUUUGCGUCCGUUGCUCACCCAAGGAGUAACGGGCAAGCGGAGCGAGCCAACGCGGAAGUGCUGCGGGGGCUCAAGAAGAGAACCUUUGACAAGCUCAAAGGCCACGGGAAGCACUGGGUCGAAGAACUCCAGCCCGUGCUGUGGUCAAUCAGGACCACACCUAGUCGGGCAACGGGCGAAACUCCUUUUGCCCUUGUCUACGGGGAUGAAGCGGUGCUGCCCCUCGAGCUCAAGCACGGAUCUCCCCGAGUACGCGCGUACGGCAACUCCAGCCAACAUGAGCAAAGGGUUGACGAUCUGAACUUCAUCGAAGAGCUUCGAUGCCGGGCUGCUGUGCGAGCCGCGCGCUACCAGCAGGGACUCCGUCGUUAUCACGACAGGCGAGUCCGUCCCCGGGGGCUCGAGAACGGAGACCUUGUCCUGCGCCGGAUACAAGGAACGAAGGCCGGGAACACGUUGACUCUGAAAUGGGAGGGCCCCUUCCGGGUAAUGCAGGUGACCAGGCCGGGGGCUGUCCGGCUGGAAACCGAAGAAGGCUUGCCGGUGCAAAAUAGCUGGAAUAUUGAGCACUUGCGCAAGUUCUACCCGUGAAGCGACGGAGCCCGACCCUCAGGUGAUGCCGCCGAUGCAUACCUCUCGAACUAAUGUAGCCGGGCAACCCCCGUGUGUAAACCACUAGUUACUGUGAAUAUAGAUAAGUGUUGUUUCCUAGAUUUUUAGUUGCCUCGUUUAUUUGCAUAUUCCUUUCACUUCUGUCUCCUGCUCUAGGUGCACAGAAGUCACUUUCCAUACUUGGUUGUGAGCAGGGGGCUGUCGGAGCCUCGAAAAUGUUAACCCGUUGCCGGAUCACUCCGGCACGGGGCAUGCAGUUGCCGGGCUUCCCGCAACGUGCAUCACGGCAUGCAGUUGCGGGGCUUCCCGCAACGUGCAUCACGGGACAUGCAGUUGCCGGGCUUCCCGCAACGUGCAUCACGCAAUUGCUGCGUCUGGGAAAUAAAAGGUGCUCACAUCCAAGUUUGGCAUCGACUCUUCUGUGUCCGGGGGCUGGGAGGCAGGAGAGUUAUCCAUACUGCUCUAGUUAUCCAUACUGCUCUAUGUUUUCAUGAAUUUCGAAUUUUUUUUGCAGCAUCUAGUGCUUGGUAACAAUCUAAUGUGCAGGGUAAAGGUGGAAUCUUGCGCACUGUAAUGCUCGUGGACCGCCCACGGGUCAAGGCGUGUAGCAGCGCCUUGUGGUGCGGAACGACCGCAUCACGAGGGACUCGCCGUACUUUGAGGCCCCUGAUUCAGGAGGAAGCCGCCACGUGUGCCACAGCAACUUGGCAUGCGGUGUGGCGAAGGCCGUACCGUACUCCAAGAGGCGGGGCGCCCCGUAUGAUGCGUUGACCCGGCGCGUGUGGUGGCAUGCCCCCCCCCUCCCCCCGUGCCUAUAAAAGGGGCAUCCCGGCCAUGGAACAGCUCAGAGCGAAGCCAAGGAAGAGGCCGCAAAGGCGGGCGGUGCUGCAGAGGCGCGAUGGUGGUGCAUUCCAUCAACGCCCAGCGCCGAUGGGUGCAGCGCCGUCGCACUCUUGCCGCAUCCCUCUACCGAGCCCACUCUAAGGGGUGUCGCAGAGACAUGGUGGUGGUGCAUCCCACCAGCGCUCGGCGCCGGCGGGUGCACUGCCGCCCGUGUCCUUGCCACACCCCCUCUAGCGAGCGGCUCCGGGGCGAGGGUUGCCGCGGAGACAUUGUGGUGGUGCAUUCCAUCAGCACUCGGCGCUGACGGGUGCACUACCACAGUGCCCCUGCCGCAUCCCUCCAGAGAGUGUCUCUGCAAGGAGCGAGGAUUGCCGUGAAGACACUAUGGUGGUGCAUGCCAUCAGCGCUCAGCGCCGACGGGUGCACUGCCGUACCCCUCCAGAGGCGAGGGUCGUUGCGAGGACACUGUGAUGGCGCCGGUGCCGGCGUUCGCCGUUCGCUCCGGCCCACCACAGCGUCCCUGCUACGUCCCUCUGGCAGACUUUCCCCAAGCAGCGAGGGCUGCUGCGGGGACGCCGUGAUGUCUUCGCCACCCGCGUCUGCCGGUGGUGGCGAGGAUGUCACGGCGUCCCUACUGCACUCCUAGGAACAGGUUCCUCCGAAAGCAAGGGCUCUUCCAAAGGCAAGGGCUGCUGUGCAAACGCGGCGGUAGCAUCGUCAUCAGCGCUUGUCGCCGGCGGUGUUCCUGCCACUACGUUCCUGCCGCAUCCCUCAAACAGGCUCUCUCAAGGGCGGCGCACCAGGCGCACACCUCCGGCAAGCUUAUCGAACACGAGACCAAACGAAAAGAUAAGUGCUUGAACCUAAACGAUAGACUCUCUGAGAACUAAACGUAACUGAACGCUGCCUCGCCAAGUGUGGCCCCGAAACCUGCGUGUGGCCGGGGUGUUAGAAGGACGCUUGCGGGGGGAGUGCGCUCCCCGUGCGGCUUCCGGGUCCGUCCCGGGAGGGGAUGGCUUGGAGUAGUUACCCCGCAAGUGGAGUGGCUCGCCGCUGCUGCUUGACCCCAGGUCGGCACUGCUGGUCCGUCCCGGGUCCCUUGUGCGGUCAAGAGUGAGGCGCGCGAGUCCCCGGCAACACAAAGCACAACACACAAGGACGAAGGGAUCCACCCCGCGAGGCGGCCCCGGGAACAAGGAACAAGGAUUGAACAGAACUAAAAAGCUGGAUUAACAAAGUAGCGAACGAUUACAUGAACUAAUGAAUCGGUAAUUGUUCAAAUGGCGCCAAGCGCCAUGCUUGCAGGAACGAAAACAAAAGAAGGUAAACAAGGAAACAGCAAGGGCCGACAGGAGGCUGCGGCAGCUAGUGGCCGGCGUCUUCCGCUGGGGGCCCCGGGGACGGCUCAGGGUCCGGGUUCCGCUGCAUCCGCUGGACCACCUCGUCGACAAACCCGCUCACCGCCUGAGUGUGGGUGGGUUCGUCCUCGCUAUUCGACCAGGCGUCCAGCAGCGUCUCGAAGGGGAACUCCGGGUCCUGGAGGUGUACCCUCGGACGGAUCGUCCCGGCAACCUCCCGGGCGCAGUUGGCAACCUCCUUAGCGCCAAACUUGGCGAUCCAAACGUCGAGCGCCCCGAACUUCCCCACCAAGUCGGAGAAGAACAGGAUCAGCGUGGAGACAUCUAUGCCAUCCACCUCCGCGGCCUGCAGCUCGAACCGAGGCAGCAGGUCGCGUAGCGCUUGGGCGAUCUUGAGCAGCUUCUCGGUCUCCAGCUACCGUUGCCCGAUCAACGUGCCGUGGUGGAGUCGGGUGUCGAGCGUGGCCUUCUUGGCCUUUCGGAGGCGGCUCGCCAGCGACGCGAGCUCCGCAGCGUGGGUCGCGUUGUCCUCGCGGGCCUUGGCGAGCUCCUCCCGGACGGUGGCCAGCUCGGUCUCGAGUCGGGCCGAUUUGUCCUUGGCAGCGUUGAGCUCGAUCUCAUGCCGGGCUGCCGCGCCCACCGCGCUUUUGAUGACCUUGAUCUGCACCUCCAGCUUUACACACAGGCCUUGGAUCUCGCCGAGAUAGUUGGCGAUCAGAUCGUUCUUCUCAUCGAUCCGAGCCUGGGCCGCAGCAAGCACCUCAGCGUGCUCCUUCUUGGUUUCCACCUAAGCCGCCACCAGCGAAUCCAGAGCUUCCUGGAGCUCGGCGUGCUGAACCUCCAGUCGCCGGUAGAGCUCCUCUUCUGGGACGACCGGUGUGGCAGCAUCCUCCAGGGCUUCCUGGGCAAGGUGCACCUCCUCCCUGGUGAGGCACGUCUCUUCCCACAGCCGGGAGAGCUCCUGCCGCUCCUUCUCCACGGCCUGCCGCAGCUCGCCCAGCUGGCUCUUGGCGAUCACGUGGUGCUCCCUCACCUCGUUGAAGGAGGUGACGAAGGCCAGCUGCUGGUCCUUGACAGUGUCAAGGAACCGGUGCCCCCGGUCGAAGACGCUCGGAUCCCAGGUGAUGGGAUUCCAAGCCACCCCGGCAAGGGUGCCGAGGUCGGUGUUGAAGGUAGCGGCCGCCGCCGACGAAGCCCUCGCCGCCACCGUAUAGCUGCGGGGGGGGGGGGGGGUCGUUUGCUUGCGGCGAAGCAUGCUGUUGCUCCCCCUCCGCAACCUCCCCAUCGCCCGCGCCCGGGGACUAUGGGGCUGGUGAGGUUGCCGCGCCCCCGGUGGCGUCUGCGGCCGCUGGCGCGUCACCAGACACCGUCCCGGUGGCGGCGGUGGUCGCCGCUGCCGCUGCGGCGGGCGUAGCAGGGCUUGGCGUGAGGACUGCCUCCGGCUCCCCCGCCGUCCCCGUAACCUCGACGUCGGAGUCAAGGUCGACCACCAUAACGCCCGCUUCUGGUGCGGGCGCGCUUGGGCCUGCAACACCGAGAAGUAUGAGAAGUGGGAAGCUAAACGAGUUGCCUGGGGGCAGGUGCGGGGGCUCUGGAUGAUUACCUUGCAGGGCCGUUGGGCUUUCGGGGGGAGUCCCCCCUCCUCCUCCGUCCCGGCAGGAGUCUCCGGGAGGAUUGCUGCGUGCGGAGCGUCGCCUGUGGAAAGAGAAGGUACAGUUGAAGGAUUAACCGACAAACGGAAAUGCAGGUAAGGAAGCAGAAGGGAGCUGUACCUAUUGCCGGCGCUACCUCCAUUGGGGCUGGGUCGCCGGUAGGUGCAGCGGCGACGCUGCGGGCCCCUGUGCUGGUCGGGUCGGCGACGCUGCUGGCGUCCGUGCGCGCCUUCUUGCUCGGCGCGGCAGGCGGGGAAUCGUCCCUCCCCCUCUUGCCGACGAAUCGGCCUUCGGGGGGUUGCGCCGGAGUGCGAAGCCCCGGAAGACCCCCUGAGCGGGCGGAACCGUGGGUGCCCGUGGGGUUGCCGCGGCCCGGGGCACUGCGGGGACCGUUGAAGGUGCCGCCGCAGCGUCAGGGGCCAUCGCUGGUGUGGCGGCCGCCGUGGCUCCGGCAGCUGCUCUUGAGGCAGCCGUCGCGGGCGCGGGCGGUCGCUGCCGGGGUGGUCACCGCCGUGGCUCCGGCAACCCCUGCGGGGGUGGUUGCCGCUGAGGUGCGGGCGGACGCCCCCAAGGCGGCCGCCGUCGCGGAGCGGGUACCCGCCGCAGGGGCGGAUGCCGCCGCAGCCACCAUGGAGGUAGCCGCGUCCGCUGUGUGCGCCCUUGAUCUGCGGACGAUCCGGGGCGCGUCGUCGCUGUCCUCCUCUUCGUCGCCGACGGGGACGACUACCCGGGACGCGGCAGGCUGGCCCGCCUCGUCGUCUGAGGAUGGAAGGGAGGGCCAGCUGAUGUCUGACUCACGCCCGCUCUCCUCAAGCACCUGCUUCCCGCGAGGUGCAGGCAGAGGAGCAUGUGGGGUCCGAGUGGGGGAGUCAUCCAUCAGCCCCCACUCGUUGCAGGGCGGGAAGGAGGCAAACGAUGUCGUUCAGCCCCGGAACGCCGACGUGGAGGGAGAUAACCCCCGGCGGAAACCCGUGGCAGGGACGUCCUCGCCGGAGAUCCCCUUCACCCACACCUGGAGAGAUUCCCGGUCCACACCCUCGCGGUGGAGGCGUGUUCUGUCUCCGGACCCCGUGUACAUCCACGCGGUGCGGGAGCGCAGUUGGAGCGGCGCGACUCGCCGGCUGAUGAAGGUUCGCGCCACAUCAACUUCGGUGAGCCUCGCUAGCCGCAAGGCCUUGAUCUUCUCCACGAUGGGGAGGAGAUCGGCGUCACGGUGGUACCGGUCCCGCUACCGCCGUUUUGUUGCGGCAGCUCGGUGGGCGAGAGGAUGAACUCCUCGGGGUCUUGCACCCGGAGCCAACACCAGUCGCCCCGCCAUUCCUUCUCGAUCUUCUUUUCCGACCGGACGAUGAACUCAGACUUCAUCUGGUCGCGGGCGCGGAACACCACCCCCGACGACAUCGCAUUCGCGUUAUCGAUCCGGGGGUAGAAGUAGUGCCGGAACAGUGCCACCGACGGCAUUACUCCGACGAACGCUUGGCAGAGGAACUAGAAGGUGGCGAGGAGAUAGAGGGACAUGGGGUGGAGCUGCGCCACCCGCAGCUGGUACGACUCCAUGAGCGCAUGGAGGAACAGGGAGAAGGGCGGCACCAGUCCUGUGAGGAUGAAGCACCUGAAGUCCCCGUGCUUGUUGAACCCGGAGGCAACAGCGUGCCGGAUCUUGGCCAGCGCCUCGCCGUUGUAGCUGGACCGGUAGAAGGCGAGCGUGGCCCUCAUCGCCCGCUUCUUCUGAUCUUUGUCCGCGGCGGCCUUGGCGGCCGCCUCGCUCUUGCUGGCCGCCGCUUUCUUUGGGGUCCCUUCCUUUCCCUUCCUGGUGGUGGGGGGUGCCAUGGGGAGCGAGUGCGGAAGCUAGCAAGGCUCUUGGGCGCAAGAUGCAAAAAGUUGGAGGAAGAAGGCUGGGGGGCUAAGUGUUUGCCCCUCAGCGCAGCAGUAAAAGCUUUAUAACACUCCGUCGUUCGGUAUCGGCUGUUUCAGUGCGCUGGGAUAAUUACAAAUCAGAGAGAUAAUGCGAAGAGUGGCCUUAACUUCCCUGUUUAAGGGGGAGGUUACGGCAGAAAUCUCGCACCCACUACUUCGUUCUUAACGGCGGGGUACUUGGGACGGCGAAGAGAAGUGGGCGCGAGGCGAGUCGGGACCCACGCGUCGGUGGGGGCGUAGCCUGGCAACCGACGAGGGAAGGGUUCGCCCGGGAACGGGUGUUGCCGGCCCACGCCCGGGGGCUACUGUCGCACCCGUGGCACCCGGGGUGCCACCGCUGCACGACGCGUGGGUCGCAUCGCUGGGUUCCAGGAAGGAUCUCACCCCGGGCGGCAACGUGCAGGCUGCCCGGCAAGCUACCAGCCCGGAAAGGCUAGCGGGGCUUUGGGGAAUAAUCCUGCCUGGGCACCUCCCGGGAAGGCACUUGCCGGGAGAAAGCGUUCCCGGGCGUAGGCGUCUGCCGUGAGGGCGGGGCCAAGCGAACAGAGCAGCAACGCCACGUGGGCACGCGGUAGGCGCCCAGUGUGCAGUGUCGCCAGGACAAGGAGUGAAGCGCACGGCGCAUUUAAUGACCCAACAGGAGGGGGGUUACCCGUCUAGUCAGGCAAACAGUGGUUGGCCAGGGCUAGUUUUUAGGCCUUAGACCCCUAGCCGCAGGGUUGGCGCUCAUGCAUGCAUGCCAGCGCACCGAGGAGGAGCUGCCCAAGCUCCUUGCUCGCCACUUGUAAACCAUGCACCGUGGCACCUGUGGUAUCCCCUUGACUAUAAAAGGAGGACCCCCGCCUACGGUCAAAGGGUUGGUGCUUUUAGUUGGUUGGUUUUUCAGUUAGUUCAGUCUUGGGUUGGUUCGUUCAUUUGACCAACAAGCAGUUCACCACUGGUAGUAGCUAAAAAUAGCAAGGAACACUUAGCCAAAAAGAGAGCACCCGGGGACCCUUCCCCGGCAACUUGUAAACCUUCUGUCUUACGAUAACACAAGCUCAGACAAACAUGACGUAGAGUUUUACAUCUCUGGGUGGCCCGAACCUGGGUAAAAAGCGUGUGCAUUCGAGUUCAUUGCAUUCUUGCGCUUUGCACUGGCCUCGCCGGCGAUCGCCGGAGCGAUCCCCGUAGCCCACUGCCGAACCUAAAAGGGGGUGCCCGCGCACCCCGGUGCGGAGCCCUGUGCGACGACAAUUUCUUAAUUACAUGUGUUAUUUUCUACUUAGCCAAGUGUCCACGCGUUGCUGCGUAAUUUACUAUAUUAUAUUAUUUUAUUUUAUAAAUAGUUUUACGUAAGAAAUCUGUCUUUCUUUCAUUUUUGGAUAUUUUCUCGUUAUUGGGCCUUAAUGUGCAUAUACAUAACGACUGUAAUAAUUGUACUUUAUUAAUUUUUCGGAUAGUGGGCCUAUUUUUUGAAUCAAGAGAUUAUAUUAGAUUUUAUGAUUGGAGGGUAGGCUAAUUGUGCAAUGUGUGGACAGUAUGGGUGUAUUUGGUUGGUGUACCAUCCAGCCCUAUCAAAUGAGGGCAAAAAUUGGCUUGCCACAUCUGGCUAAGGAUUUGCCAACUCUCAUUUUGCUAAUUAUUUGGCAAGAAUGUGUGAGAGAGAUGGGAUGGCUCAUGUUGGCAACCAAAAUGUUGGCAACACAUCAAAAACUUCUCCUUUCCGUUUCUAAAUUCUUGUCGUUGUUAAUUUUAGUACAAAUUUGAAGAGAACAACAACAAUUUAGGACUGAAGUGAGGACAAAAACACUAUUUGUUGGCAAUUUUUGACCUGACUAGUGUUGGUACCCAAUCAAACACACCCUACUUACCAUCAUUACCAACUCUAAAUUAGUAUAUAGUAUAAAAUGUAUAAAUAUAUAAAGAUAAAGAUAUCAAAGAUUACUUAUGUACUCCCUCCGAUCUUAAAUUUUUAAAUUUUUGUCGUUGUUUUAGUUCAAGUUAAGCCACGACAAGAAUUUAGGAUUCGAGGGAGUAGUGCAGUGUCCUGCAUUGCUAAGAAAUCACGCGGUUUAGCGUGUGUGCAGUUUUUGUCAAUGUCAUCAUAUGCAACUUUUGUCUCCGUUCAACUUGCGCAAUUGAGUGUUUGGAUUUAGUCUGCACACAACUCACAGCGUGCUAAGUGCCAACCACGUGAGACUCUAAACUGUUCCCUUCGUUCCAUAAUUCUUGUCGAAACAUUACAUGUAUCUAGACCUUUUUCUAGGAAUAGAUACAUAUAUAUUUGGACAAAUUUGAGACUAGAAUUAUGAAACGGAGGAAGUAAUAGAUAGUGUGCCUUUGGUUGCACAUUGUGGCUCUCUUUACUCAUGGUAGUUGUCACUCCUUCAGUAGCCUGUUUUGACCGCUUUUUUUUUACCGCACUUCUUCUGUCGCCUUUGUCCUAGUCAAUAUAGCCAUUGUGAUGAGGAUGAGGUCGAAAGUACUGAGUUUAAGUCCAUACUACUGAGUUACUCGAGGAUUACAAAAUCUAUGAUGCAAUCACUAGUUUUGGCUUUUGGUUUUGACAUUGUUUUGAGACCUCGGUCUCUUGUACAUAUACUUCGAGCAGGUUUCCUGACAUGUGUGCAUGACUACCCGGCGAAUGGGAACUCAUCAUGCCAGUCAACACAUGGGUACAAAGCGUGCACAAAGUGUGGGGAUGAGACAGAAGGGUUGUUCCUGCCAGAAUCAAAAAAGAUUGUGUACAUGGGACACCGUAAGUGGCUGGAGAUGAAGGACCCGUGGAGGGAUGAUAAGAAAAACUUCAACGGGAGGGCAGAGAGGCGGCACAAGCUGAGGGAACUGGGACACGAAGUAUACGAAAUUGUCAGGGACCUCAAAGUCAUGGCCGGGAAAGCACAGCCGGCUGCAGGUCCAGAUGGCGGCCUUACGUACAAGAGGAGGUCCGUGUUCUGGGACUUGCCUUACUAGAGGUUCUUACAGAGCCGUCACACCAUAGACGUCAUGCAUGUCGAAAAGAACGUGUGCGACAGCCUGUUGGGCUUGAUGAUGCACCACGCGGACAAGUCAAAAGAUGGACCAAAGGCACGGAAUGACCUGCAGUGGAUGGGGAUAAGGGAGAAGCUGUGGCCGAUAGAGGAAGAGGCGCCUCAGGAAAACAAGGAUGGUGAACGCACGAUAUAUACGCGAUGCAAACCUGCGUGUUACAGUCUGAGCAAAGCCGAGCUGCAUAGAAUGUGCGAGUGUCUCCAUGGCAUCAAAGUUCCAUCGAACUACUCAUCCAGCAUCAAGAAACUCGUUGACAUGAAGAGCCACAAGCUGGUUGGCAUGAAGUCUCAUGACUGCCAUGUGAUUCUCACGCAGCUACUUCCGGUUGCAAUAAGAGGCUGCAUGGAGCCACGGGUGACAGAGACGGUCAUGAAACUAUGUGACUUCUUCGACACGAUCGGCCAGAAGUCCAUCACGGUGGACUGUUGCCUGCAACUGAGGGACGCAAUGAUACAGAUAUUGUGCGAAUGUGAGAUGUUCUUUCCCCCAACGUUCUUCGACAUUAUGGUCCAUCUGAUGGUCCACGUCGCCGAUGAGAUCUUGUUGUUAGGGCCAUCGUUCCUGCACAACAUGUUUGGGCCCGAACGAUACAACGGGGUGCUGAAGCGAUAUGUUUGUAACAGAGGGCGUCCCAAAGGAAGCAUCAUGGAAGGCUAUCAUGCAGAAGAGUGCGUUGAGUUCUUCACUGAUUGGUUGGCGGACCGCAAACCCAUAGGGGUCCCCGAAUCACGACAUAAGGGGAAGCCAGAAGGUGAAGGUCGGCUUGGCCGGAAGGAGCUUGAUGUGCAUGCCCGCCAAAGAAUGGACGACUUUAUAAGAGCACACACAAUGGUCCUGCAACUCACGCCAGAGGUCGAGCCAUUCAUUGACAUGCACAUCGAAGAACUUCGAAACCUCAACCCUAACAGGAAUGAUGAUUGGAUCCAGCGAAAACACAAUUCUACAUUCUCCAUGUGGCUCAAGGAUCUUUGGUAUCCGAGGGCUGCGGCGAAUGAAGAUGAGAAGAUUAUCCAGAAGUUGUCACGGCUUCCCGACCACAACGUUGUGACAUACCAGUCGUACGCAAUGAAUGGGUAUACGUAUUACACCAAGGCUCAAGACCGUAAGAAUACGUACCAAAAUAGCGGUAUAGUGUUCGUAGCUGAGACGGGGACCGACAGCGAAGGCCAGACUGAAGCGUACUACGGCGUUGUCGAAGAGAUCUAGGAGCUUGACUACACCCUCACCACAAUCGCCAUGUUUCGCAUUAGAUGGGCACGCGAUGUCAGGCAUGAAGAUCAUAGGUUCACAACAAUGAUUCUGCUAAAAGAGGUUCCCCGUCAUCAGGUGAACGUCAAAAGAAUCUCGGCAAUGCUUGAACCAUGGCAGUUUGCUUCCAAAUGCAAACAAGUCUUCUUCGUAGAAGACCCGAUAGCGAAAAACCGCGUAGUCGUGAGGAGAGGUAAAAAGAGCAUUGUUGGGGUCGACGGAGUAACUUCACAACAAGACUAUGAAGGUUUCCCUGACCCCACGACCAGGCAAGAAGAAGAGGUGGCAAGACGGACGACCCAGACAAGAAAGAAGUCAAAAUUAGCCACACAAGACAGGGCCUACGCCAGAAGCAGCCACGAUGAGGUCCAAACGUAUAAGAGGAAAGAGAAGACAAUAAACAAGAAAAACAAGAUUGUCCAAUAGUUCACUAUUUGUGUAAUUUUGAUCAAUUAUGCUCGUUGAUGAUUUUCAAUGUAGUUUGAAUUCUAACGAGGUUCGAAUCUUAACUUGUUCAAAUUUGAAAAAAAAUGCCGUAGAUUUGUUCGCUAUGCUCGUUGAUGAUUUUCAAUGUAAUUUGAAUUCUAACGAGGUUUGAAUCUUAACUUGUUCAAAUUUGAAGACAAAUGCCGUAAAUUUGUUCGCUAUGCUCGUUGAUGAUUUUCCACGUAAUUUGAAUUCUAACGAGGUUUGAAUCUUAACUUGUUCAAAUUUGAAAACAAAUGCCGUAAAUUUGUUCGCAAUAUUUUUGUACUGUGAGUGCAUAUUUUAUUUGCUUGUUUCAUUAUAAAGGAGAAAAAAAAAGUUUUUAAGCCCGCCCGGGUCAACUGAGCGUUUCGGGUUCGGGCCCAGCCAGGCGAACCCGGGAGCAGCCUACUACCUAGUAGGCCAGAGCGGACCCGGGCCCACGGGGCUGUUAUCCGAGCCCACAAAGAACAUUACAGGCACCGGGCCCACGGGCCAGGUGAGGAGCACAGAAGACAGGCGAGAGGAAUAUUCGGAAGCUGAUGGGAGAAGGGAUGAAAGCCUUAUAUGCUGGUCGAAUCGCUUGUAAACUAGCGAGGUGGGACUAAACUCCCACCUUGCCUCGCGUGGAGCCCGCGGAAGGACACCAGUGGCGGUUAUUACAAGGAAAUCCGCCACUCGAAGGAGUACCAGUGGCGGUUAUUACAAGAAACCCGCCACUGUUGUGAGCUACCAGAAAAGGAGGCAAAAAAGUUUUUUUAGCCCGCCCGGCCAACUAGGCUGUUUCGGGUUCAGGCCCAGCCCGGCGAGAACCCGGGAGCUGCCUACUACCUACUAGGCCAGAAGAGCACGGGCCCACAGGGCUAUAAUCCGAGCCCACUAGUGCACACAUAGGGUACCGGGCCCAUAGACCAGGCGAACGAGAGUAGAGGAGAGAGCAGCAUUUGAUUUUAUUCGGAAUCUGCAAAGGGAGGGGGAGGAAGCAAUUUAUGCUGGUCGAACCGCAAACUAGUGGCGGUGAUUACAGGUAAACCCGCCACCGAAAGCUGGCACCAGUGGCGGUGAUUUCGCUGAAACCCGCCACUGGUGAAUGCUACAGGACUUGGGAUUUCCCAAAUCUUGUCCAACUCACCAGUGGCGGUGAUUUUCCUGAAACUCGUCACUGGUAAUGAUUUCAGAAUGCACUAUUAUAAUCCUAUUAUAUUCUAUGCGUUCCAAAAAAUAUAGCAGUUGUACUUUUGGGUGUAUAGUAAUAUUGUUUGUUCCCAAUACAAGUUUUAGACAUUAAUUCAUAGUAUUUCAUACAAAUUUCUGUGAUUAUGUGUGGGUUUGGUGCUAAUUUAAUUCCAUAAAAUUCAAUUUUCAUCAAAAUGAGCUGAAACUUGGCAUGGGAACAUCUCUCAGUCUAAUGAAGCCACACGGAAAAAAUCAAGCCCAAAUUUAUUAUAAUGUUACAAUUUGGAUGUUGGCUUAGAAGGUACCAGAGAUAUCUACCUAGAUGAUCCCAAUAUGGUAUUCUUAUGGGCUUCAUUUGAAAUUUUGACACCAAAUUUCAUAUACAGGCAUAUUGUUGUGUGAGAAGCCUCCAUGCCAAAUAUCAGACCAUUCUGAGCAAUUUUGUAAUUUAUAACAAUUUUUAACCACAGUAAACAGUACAAAAGCAUAAAUAUUUCAAUUUCAGCAAUGUAUUUAGCAUUGAAAUCUUUAGUGAGAAAAGAAAUAAUUAUUAUACGCUUAAAAGUAUAGGUGCCAUAAUUUUUAGAGAGACAUAGAAUAUAAUACUAGAACCAAAAUACUAACCACUGGCGGGUAUAUACAAUAUCACCGCCACUGGUGCGUGGAACAGGGAUGUGGUUAACCCUCACUCCUGUUCCAAUUACCAGUGGCGGGGUUUUCAUAUACCCGCCACUGGUUGGUCACCACUGGCGGGUAUCCGGAAAUACCCGUCACCGGUGGUCUCCUGUACCAGUAACCCUAGGAAGGGUCUCCCGUGGCGGGUAUCCGCAAAAUACCCGUCACUGGAGACCCUCCCUAUAUGUAUUACAGGGCGAGACUUCACGAAAUUUUCGUAUUCGAGACGCGUGUCUUUCCCAGACCAGUAGCGCUCACGCCUCAAACCCUACGGCGAAGCCCUGCCCGACUCCGCCGCCACCGCCCUUCCCCGCCGUCGCCGCCAUGUCGCAGAACGACAAGACCGGGGGGUCGGAGCGGACGACGAGGAGCGGGAAGCCCCUCGCCCCGCAGCCCCCCCCCCCCCCAACGGCCGCCGGAUCCGGAUCCGGCGGCCCCGUCUGGCCGACGCCCGCCCCGCAUCGCCGGGGGCGCUGGGCCGCCUCGACGACGCUGCCUCCGCCCCGGCCGGCUCCGCCCCAACCCCAUCCACGACCCAGGCACCGACCCCGACCCCGGCCCAGACGACCCUCGCCGUCGCGGCCCCGACCCGGUAUGCUAUUUAGGGUUUAAUACUACUGUUUAGGGUUUAAUAUUGUUGUUUAGGGUUUAAUACUGUUGUUUAGGGUUUAAUAUUGUUGUUUAGGGUUUAAUAUUUCUGUUUAGGAUUUAAUUUAAAUCUUGUUGUUUAGGGUUUAAUAUUGCUGUUUAUGGUUUCAUAUUGCCAUUUAGGGUUUAAAUCUUUAUAUUGCUGCCUCUUGUUUAAAUAUUGUUGUUAUUGCUGCUCUUGGUGCAAAGAUUGAUACAUGCAUGUGAUCCCGACCAUCGUGUCGGUUGAUAUGAGGAAUGUGAGCCCGGCCAUCGUGCCGGGUCGCUGAGAAGGGUCCGGCCAUCGUGCCAAGGGGGUAGAUGUGGGUGGGAGUUUUUUUAUGCAGGUAUAACAUUCGAGUAGACUGUUUUGUUGUUUUACAGCAAUGGUCAUGCCGAAAUUUUCUUGUUUUAUAGCAUAGGUCAUGCCGAAUUUUUCCGUUUUUUUAAAUUACUUUUAUAAGUGUUGGAUAGGAACCUCAGGCUCGUGUUGAAGAGGUGCCUGAGCAGCCACCGGUUGUGGAGGGACAAGUCGAAGAAGAAGCGGGGGCAUCUUCCUCAGGCUCUGAAAUUGCCAUGAGCAAAGAAGGAGCCGAGGAGCAGCUGUUCCUUGAAGGAGCCGAGGAGCAGCUGCUCCUUGAAGGAGAAGCUAACGAGGAAGAAGCCCUGGGUGCGAUGUCUCAGGCUACGGAGUCGACUACUCAGUCGAAGUCCAAGCAGGGGGCGAAUAAGGUGCCGACGGAGUCGUGGGUUGUCACCAAGCUGAAUAAAGAAAACUACCCGGAGGAACCGGGGGAGGCUGCAGAAAGAUUCUCCAACACAUGCAACGCCAUCGUACGGGUACGCGCUUGGAUCUAUCAAAGAUGGAGCAAUGUCCCGGAAGCUGUGAAGCAGGACUGUUACGAGGCGGCAUGGAAGCGGUUCGUGCCUGCCAAUGAUGAGAUCAGGAAACGGUUGGAGUGGCAGAUGCACCAAGUCAUGAGGAAGGGCCAGAGCACGUGGCAAUAUAACUGCAGGAAGCUCAUCGACAAAGACUGGAAGAAAGAGGUUAACAAGCACUGGAAGGGAUCUCGGAGGAGGACUGGGGGAGGUUCAAGGUGUGGGUCAGGUCAGAUGAAUUCAAGGCCAGCCAAAAAUGGUACAAGGAGCUUCGUGAGAAAAUGCCCUUCGACCACCGCCUCGGCAGUCGUGGACGCCCCGGAAAGGAGAAGGUGUGGGCGAAGGAGGACGCCGCAUUGGACCAAGCCGGUAUACAGCCGAGAGUCCCAACUUUGCUUCGCGGUGAGCACUCCAGCAAAUGGCUGCGGUCAUCCAUGACCACAAAUCAGUGGGCGGGCCUGGAGCCUAUGUCAAAGAAGCAAGAGGCUGCACUCGUAAGGCCUUGUCCUGACAUCUUUUUUUAUCGGUUGGGCUUCUUAUACUCACAUAUAAGAUUAACACCGAGCAUGUUGUUUUUUGUAUACAGGGUGCAAUGGCAGAGUGGGAGUCGGAUGGCUCCCACUCAUCUAUCAACCAACAGUGGGAUGAUGCCAUCAGCUACGCUCUGCAACGAAAUGAGCACGGGGGCCAUAUGCGAGGUGUCGGUUCCGGGCCCUUUCGCAGGCAGAUGGCGAAAGAGCAAGGUUCCCGCAAACGCAGAAGGGUGUCCAGCAAAGAAUAGAGCUCAAAGGAAUUAGAUGAGAAGAUCUGGCUGUUGGCGAGGGAGGACCUCAGGAAGCUCAUGCGGCUUGCAAGGGACCAACGUGACGUCGACAACUUCAUCGAUCACGGUGUUUUCUUGCCGGCGCCCAUCCAACCAACCCCAACCACACCGGAUCCGUCCCCGCUACCCAAUAAGAGCACCUCAUGCUCCGGCAUCGAGUGCCAGCUUAACCCGCUUGGGCCACCCGACGAGAACCUCACGGUAAGCGUCUUCCCGCGCUACGAAAAAUUGUGAAAUACCACUAUCAAAUAAUAGCAGGAAUACAGCAGCACAAUAUACAACACCAAAGAAACAGAAUAGCAGCAAAUAUAUUACAAAGUUCCACACGAGUUAAACAUUCAAGUCACAUGCAUGUAUACAAAGUGUUUGAAAAAAUGAGCCACAAAUAAAAGUAUUCCACACAAUUUAGCCACUUUUGGCAACAAUCCCGCCGCCGUAGUAAUCCCCGCUCGAUUUGAGGACCUCCUUGUUGAGGAUUUCGCCGAUGUCCUUUUGGAUCUCGUACAUGAGAAUUUCUGAGUUGUGCCCUAACUCGGUGUUGGCCAGAAACCAAUUCCUCACUUCUUCGAAGGGCUUCUUCCCCUUCGGCUGGAAGUCGUUGAUGAAUUGUUGAAUAGUGUGCGUGCAGUAGUAACCGAAGUAGACGGAUCCUUCAGCCUGUUGCUCGCAGGGAAAGUUGAAAGUGUACCUGAGGGGAGCGUCAGGAUUGCGGCUGAAGCCAGUCACCCCGUACCAUUUCACCGCGUCGCGAUAGGCCGCAUCGAUGACAUAUUUGAUCGGCUCAAAGUCGCGUUGUGGUUCAUUCCCCUUGCGUCGCAGUGGAUCAAAAUAUGUGACCCCACCCAUAUUGAGGCAGAUGGCGAUUGUCACUCAAUGGCCACUGUUUCACAAAAGGACGCACAUUGUAUUAGCCAAAUAAUAUAACAAGCAAGUCUUCCGACGGAAAAAGAUUUAUGUAUUCACGCGAAUUGAAAACAACUUACUGUAGAUGGUACAAUAUCAAUACAAAAUGGCGGUCUUUGUGCUUCAAGAUGAAUUGAGUGAGGUAUUUAAUCACCAACCUUCUACUUUUAGCCAACAAUGGGUCUGGACCAAGCAAAGUGGCAUUGAAAAGAAGGGGGUCGGCGACGGCCAUCCCAUAUUGCUUCACCCUAUAUGCCUCCCUCGUGUAGUGUACACACCACAGUCUUAAUAUGGCGUUGUCGAGGCACUUGCGGUUGAAGAGGUGAAACAAGUCGAGGAAGUCAAUGCCGAAGCUAACGUCAUUUUCCUUCUUGAUUUCCCUCGUAUUGGAGUCGAAGAAGCCAUAAUGCUUUGGCACUCGAACCCUGAUUUCCAGAUUUGUGAGGUCUGCGCCUGAUGGUGCCACAUUCAUGUAUUUUUCAUGGAGCUCUUGCAUCUCCCGUGGCAGGCGAUACAGGUCAUCCUGGGAAACCAUCGGUUGUCCGGGGUGGAACAAAAAAAAUUGGGAGAAUCGCCUCUCCACGAAAUAAGACCCAUCAGGCAAUCUAUCUCCAACACGGGGGUGGAUGGGCAUCUUCAGAAUGUCUGGUCGCUCUUCCCAAAUCCCUUCUAUCUGCGGCGCUCUCUUUAGUUGUCUUCCUGUAGAAGACGACUCUUUCCCCUCCUUGGAGGAGCCCUUGCCUGCCUUGUCGCCUGUCCCCGUUUUGUUUUUCCUGCGUCUCAGGAAAUCGGAACUGUCCGGUUUCUGGGGGACCUGCAUCCCAGCAAGGGCACUUGGACGGCGCUCCAACGGGGCCGAUUGUGCUGCGGCUCUCCGAGGGACGGGUCUUGGUGUAGAUGGCUUCGGGGCUUCGGGUUUGGGCGACGACGGAGGAUUUUGGCCUGCAUUGUCGUCGCUACACUCCGCCGCAGGUGAGAAGUCUCGUUCCGUGGGCUCGUAGUCCAAAGGACCGGGUGAGGCGCCAAGCAGCGACGGAGACGUCAGGCGCCGGGCGGGUGGAGACAGACCGAGCCGGGGCAACGGAGAUGCAGACGGCUCCGUAGCGAGGACCACCAACCUCCUAGGCCAGAUGAGGUAGGAGUUGACGCAAUCCCUUAGGGUCGUCGCCUCUUCGUGCGGAGGAUAAGGGACCGGUUUGUCCUCGAAGCCCUUGAGCACGAAGUCCACCUGCACCCUGACCAUGUCGUCUCGCAGGGUCACGUGGUGUACCACGGCCGUACGCGGCAUCAGCAACCCGCACACGCCAGAGGAUUCCUCACCGUCGGCAUGUGUAGCCGGCAUUUGAUGCCCUUCUGCGCAUGACAAACAUGGCAACAUCAUUAAUAGAUUGGAACAUGACAGUGGUAUUUCAUAAUUUUUCGUAGCGCGGGAAGACGCUUACCGUGAGGUUCUCGUCGGGUGGCCCAAGCGGGUUAAGCUGGCACUCGGUGCCGGAGCAUGUUGUUGUACCUAUACCUUUGCCCACGUCGGAAAUAUUUUAGACAUAGAUACAUUCAUAUUUGAGCAAAUUUGAGUCACUUGACAUGGGUAGGAGGAAGCAGCCGUACAAUAUUUGUUUGUUCCUCGUUAAUUAAUAACCGGGUCAAUAAAAAUUGAAGAAAGCAUAUGUAAUGGGACGCAUUGUGUCCUCAACUCAAAGCGGAGCGAGCGACUGAAUAAAGAUCCCAUCCAGUUUCUCCGUAGCCAUCACGCUCCUGCGCGGCGGCCGCCGCCUUGACAGAGGAGGACCUCCUUCUUGUGCCGAUUUUCCUCGCCGGGGCCGUCCCAGCCGCCGUGGGACGCGCCCUUCAUCACGGGCCCCAAGCGCCUGCCGUACGGUUCCUACACCUCUCUUUAGUCUUCGACGGAAUUGCUGCGAAACAGGGAGAGGUUCGCCACUUCCCCGGAAUUUUACUUGAUCCUUUGGUUGUACUGGAGUAGCAUCUUAGGAAUUUGCUUCUAUCCUACUCCGUAGUACCUUGCAAGCUCCGGAGUAGCAAUGCCUGAAUUUUGAGGAACGUCUAAGGAGCUUUUGUUCUAUGUGUAAGUACAGAAAGUCAGAAAGGAUUGUCCUCAAUGAAAUCGAACCCAUUUACUACCUCCGAUCCAUUCAACAUUUUGGUACGAUUUUCAGAUUCUUUUGCUGUUCCUGAGAACAGUGCGUUUGUUGUUUUACUCGCUAAUUACUAGCUCUAGAUAUCGGGGGCUGUCCUUUUCUAUAUGCAUUUAUGGAGUGGGGGACUGUUUUUUUUUUCGAAACGGAGGAGUGGGGGACUGUUUCAGAUACAGUAUGACACAUAAGUAGGGCGGCUAAACAGCUGGAGUACAAAAAGGAAGAGCGAACGAAAUUUCAGGGUCGACAUGUGACCUAUAAACGAUUCAGUGUGUGUGCCUUCUGGUUCUAGCAUUAUUGGUGGGGUCAAAAGGUUUGACAGCGGGAACAAGUGGCAAUAUGGAGUCCCUGAUUGAUUUCAGUAGUAACUACCUAAGUGCACAUAAAUUGAUCAAGAAGAGAUAAAAUGGCAAACUUAUCCUGGUCGGGCAUGUAUUCUUAGCUGUCCCAUUUCACUUUAGUUCAUCUGGUAGUUAUGUUGUCAGUUGUGUUGAACUUGGCUGUCAAGCUGCCUCUUUGGUCUCCCAUGAGUUCCUUUUAGUCCAGGCAUGUUCAACUUGGCUACCAAGCUACUGACUCUGUUUCCUCCCAGUUUCUGAAGAGCAUCUAUAACGUUGAUGAAGUUGACUGAUAUAUUCUUCCUCGUACAUGUUAAAUAGCCCAUUCACUUCACUUGUAAACAUCUAAGCAGACUGUAAAGUUUCAAGUAUGGUGCCAAGCAUGGAGGAGCCUCUUGUUCGGAGCAGCACUGAGAAGACAAGAGGGCCAGGCGACAGCCUUCUGGUGACUGAGGUCAAGAAGCAGCUUUACCUUGCUGGUCCUCUCAUCGCCGGAAGCCUCCUGCAGAACGUCGUCCAGAUGAUAUCUGUCAUGUUUGUUGGUCAUCUCGGCGAGCUCGCUCUCUCCAGUGCCUCCAUCGCCACAUCCUUUGCCGGUGUCACCGGCUUCAGCUUGCUGGUAUAUUAACUAUUUCAGGCUAGCAUGUCGAGCAGCUUGGACUCACUGUGUUUGAUCUCCUUAACAGAAACUUGAAUAUGUGUUCAUAACUAUUUUAGGCAGGCAUGUCGAGCAGCUUGGACACACUGUAUGGGCAAGCCUUCGGAGCAAAGCAGUACCAUCUUCUUGGUAUCUACAAGCAGAGAGCAAUCUUUGUGCUCACUCUGGUGAGUGUUGUGGUUGCUGUAAUCUGGGCGUACACCGGCCAGAUCCUUCUGUUCUUCGGCCUGGACCCAGAAAUUGCCAUGGGAGCAGGGACCUACAUCCGUUGGUUGAUUCCAGCAUUGUUUGUGUAUGGACCGCUUCAGUGCCAUGUCCGGUUCCUGCAGACGCAAAACAUUGUACUCCCAGUGAUGCUGAGCGCAGGUGUCAUGGCGCUGAGCCAUGUCCUGGUUUGCUGGCUGCUGGUUUACAAGCUUGGCCUGGGCAACAGUGGUGCUGCCUUGGCCAAUACCAUCUCUUACCUGGCCAAUUUUUUAGUCUGCUCUCUAUGUCAGGUUCUCUCAAUCUUGUAAGAACACAUGGACAGGGUUAUCAACGGAGGCAUUUCAUGACAUCCUUAGUUUCUUGAGGCUCGCCGUUCCAUCUGCUCUGAUGGUUUGGUGAGUGUGAGUUGAGCCUUCUAAUAGCAGGCAGAGUUAUUUGUGUUUCAUUUGCAGUUGAUUUUAUCCUGCAUUUUCACAGCUUGGAGUGGUGGUCAUUCGAGCUCAUGGUACUUCUUUCAGGAUUUCUGCCAAAUCCUAAGCUCGAGGCGUCAGUAUUGUCCAUCAGGUGAGCAUAUUCAUUGCGUAUUUCAUAUUUGGUUUCCUUUUUUUUAUAGUAACAGUUGAAUUUCCUGCAGUUUAAACACGGUUGCAUUAGUAUUCAGGAUCCCCUCUGGGCUUGGUGCGGCUAUAAGGUCAGAUUGAACAAGGCAAUCUUGUAAACCAUUACUAUGCCAAAAUGUUUAUCCAUAAUACUUUUGGCAUAACCAUUGUCAUCUCACCCCAAAAAAGUUGAUAUCCAUUAUCUCAUCUUUGUAGCACCCGUGUGUCAAAUGAGCUUGGUGCGGGGCGACCGCAUGCUGCCCGUCUAGCCACUCGUGUGAUCAUGGCCCUGGGAAUCGUGUCAGGUGUAUCAGUUGGGCUUCUUAUGAUUUUAGUGCGCAAUUUAUGGGGGUAUGCAUACAGCAAUGAGGAGGAAGUGGUUGAGUACGUUGCCAGAAUUAUGCCCAUUCUUGCCGUGACAUUCUUGUUUGAUGACCUGCAGUGCGUUCUUUCAGGUAAAUAUAGAUACCUCUAAAAUCAAAUUUGGUGAUUAAAUGGAGCCUAUUUUUGUGCUUGAAUUAUGUUUACCCCAAAAUAGUUGUCGUUUCUAUUGAAUAUUAUCCCCAAACAUACUGACUGGCAAUUCGGGAUACUCUGAGUCUGAUAUUCUUUUUCCAGGUAUUGUUAGGGGUUGUGGCUUCCAAAAGAUUGGCGCUUUCGUCAAUCUCAGUGCAUACUAUCUUGUCGGCAUUCCGGCAGCUUUAUGUUUUGCCUUUCUCUACCACUUCAGUGGAAUGGUAUUAAUUUAGUACCCUUACCACAUAAAACUUCUUAUUUCACUUAUAUUUCUCAUCCCAGACCUCUAAAAUGUGUUUGAACUGGUAGGGACUGUGGCUCGGAAUAAUCUGCGGGCUUGUUGUGCAGAUGCUAUUGCUCUUGUUCAUUACCUUGUCCACCAACUGGGAGAAAGAAGUAAGGAAACUAACAAACUAUUAUGGCACACAAUUUUUGUUCCGACGUCUUCUAGUGAUUUUAAUUUGUGGCCGAUUAUCUGUCUUGUUGCUUUGGUAGGCUUUAAAGGCGAAGAACAGAGUUUUUAGUUCGUCCCUACCUGCGGACUUGAUGACAUGAGACGCGCAUGAUGCACAAUUUUCUUGGGAAAUUUGUCCAGGAAUGUGCAGGGAGACAAGGAACCCAUGAAGAAUUGGGCUCUAAGAAAAGUGCUUCGAUCCACCAGCUGGUACUUUCUUCAACGAAACGUCUGCAAAUGAGCUCCCUACCCAGCACGGCACUUGAUAAGGGAAUAAAAUGUUGUUUUACUAGAAUCAACCUUAUUGAUCCAGAAUUUCCGUGGAGGAUUUACUAGACUAUUUCUUCGUAAAAGAAUAGAAUGGCAAAGAAAGGAGCUAGGUUCGCUUGCCUGUCAGAAUUGCAUAUGCUUGGUUCUCCUACUGUAACGCUAGGUUUACUCGUAGCCUAGGAAGGGAAACGGUCAAAUGUUCAUUGAAACAUGAAGAGAUGAUAAACUUUGUAGAAAUGUUCUUCGGACAAAAAGGAAGUGAUGAUAUCAUUGAAGAAGGGAAUAGAUCUGCUACUUUUGGAUCUUAUGCUAAUGGAGCUCUUGGUCCUGUGGGUUUUCUUUACUGUUCUACUCCCUCCGUCCCAUACUAAGUGACGAAAUAUUACAUGUAUUUAGAUGCUUUUUGAGUAUAGAUACAUCCAUAUUUUGGCAAAUUUGAGUCACUUAUUAUGGCACGGAGGGAGUAUCAAAAGUUUGGGCCACUUAUUUAGAAUUAUUAUAUGGCGCUGGUUAGAGCGUCUGAAACUUUGAACAAGGUCGAUUAGAUGUCUCCACCUUGUUACCUUGAUCCCUAGGAACCAGAUGCAUACGAAAUGGAGAAAUUUGGGCCAUUCAGCUUAGAGAACUGUAUUUUUUUUUUAAAUAUAUAUUAUUUUUUCUUUUUUUUUACAAAUCAUUGACUAGCAGGCUCUCUCUUGUGGGGAGACUCAUAUCCUCUAAUCAAACAGCUUUUCAGUCUAGCAUUUUCAGAAGCUCCCGAAUAGCCUCGUCUGAUUUUGAACAUCUUGCGAGUUUUUGCUCGAUGCGUAUCCGUCUUAUUAUAGGAAUAGACUGGUGGCUUUUGGUUGUUUCGAUCUAUGUAUACAUUUUUUUAGGCUUGUUAAUAAAUCAAUAAAUAUGGUUGUGUGCAUUAUUUUGUUACAGAGGUCGGGAUUUCAACCUUUUAAAAAAAAAUAGUGUUAGCUACGAGAAUAUCUACGUCUGUAGCUUUCGUCGUGUUGAAUAGUAUACUGGAUGUUCUGGUCCGGAUUAAGCUUGGAACCUUGGAUUCAACUUUUUCCGUCAGAUAAGGCUAUUAUGUCAGAUGCGUUGCACUUGACUGCCAAGCUUCCUCCUUUGUCUCACAUGAGAUCCUUUAGUCCCAAUUCCUUUCAGGCAUGCUGAAAUUGACUGGAUGAGGCACGCCAAACUUUGUUGGCAAGCAAGCUACUCCUUCACUAUAACUGUUUCCUGUCGGUUUUCAUAUGGAAUUUGUCACCAUAUUUGCAGGCCCAUCCCCAUAUAAUAUUUGAUGAAGUUGAUCGGUAGUAUAGUCUUCAGCACACAUGAUAAAUAUCCCUUCAGUUCACUUGCAAACGCAUGCCUUUGUUCAGAAGCAAAGUGAGAGGUUUCAUCCUUUCAGGCAUGGAGGAGCCCCUUGCUGGUGGCAACGCUGAGAAAACGAGAGGGCUGCUAAGACAGAGCCUGGUAGCGACCGAGGUGAAGAAGCAGCUGUACCUUGCCGGGCCUCUCAGCGCCGGAUGCCUCCUGCAGAACGUCGUCCAGAUGAUAUCGGUCAUGUUCCUAAGAUGAGCUUGUCCUCAUCUUAGGAGCUUCUGUUCUGCUUUUUUUUUUUUUGAAAAGGAGCUUUUGCUCUGUAUGUACGUAGAAAUAAGAAGGAUGUCUUGAAUGGAAUCUCUUCCAUUUUCUAGCUCCGAUCCAUUCGACAAUUUAUCAUGAUUUUCAGAUUACUUGGUGACCACCACCGAGCGCUUGUAGUUCGACUCACUAAUUAAAUCUCAGGAACUUUUUCAGAUACAGUAUGACACAUAAGAGGGCAGCCAAACAGUAGGAGUUCAAAACGGAAAAACAAACGAGAUUUGAGGGGCAACAUGUCACCUAUAAACGAUUCACAGUGUUUGUGCCUUCUGGUUCUAGUAUUCUUAGCUUCCACAAUUCACUUUAGUUCGUCUGGUAAUUAUUUUGUCAGUAGUGUGAACUUGGCUGCCAAGCUGUCUCUUUUGUCUCCCAUGUGUUUCUUUUUAGUCCACUAGACUGAAUAUUCUAACAUCUCAAUCAUGCUCAAAUUGACUGGUUGAGGCCUGUUCAACUUGGUUACCGAGUCUGACUCUGUUUCCUCGCAGUUUCUGAAGUCACCAUCUAUAUCGUUUGUGAAGUUGAUUGAUAUAUUCUUCCUCAUAUAUGUUAAAUAUCCCAUUCACUUCACUUGUAAACACCUAAACAGAUUCUGAAGUUUCAAGUAUGGUGCCAAGCAUGGAGGAGCCCCUUGUUGCGAGCAACACUGAGAAGACACAAGGGCCAGGACACAGCCUUGUGGUGAUUGAGGUCAAGAAGCAGCUUUACCUUGCUGGCCCUCUCAUCGCCGGAGGCCUCCUACAGAACGUCGUCCAGAUGAUAUCUGUCAUGUUUGUCGGUCAUCUCGGCGAGCUUGCUCUCUCCAGUGCCUCCAUCGCCACAUCCUUUGCCGGUGUCACCGGCUUCAGCUUGCUGGUAUAUUAUGACCUUACAUACGUUUGAUCUCCUUAACAAUUAACAGAAACUUGAAUAUGUGUUCAUAACUAUUUUAGGCAGGCAUGUCGAGCAGCUUGGACACACUGUGUGGGCAAGCCUUCGGAGCAAAGCAGUACCAUCUUCUUGGUAUCUACAAGCAGAGAGCAAUCUUUGUGCUCACUCUGGUGAGUGUUGUGGUUGCUGUAAUCUGGGCCUACACCGGCCAGAUCCUUCUGUUCUUCGGCCUGGACCCAGAAAUUGCCAUGGGAGCAGGGACUUACAUCCGGUGGUUGACUCCAGCAUUGUUUGUGUAUGGACCGCUUCAAUGCCAAAUCCGGUUCCUGCGGACACAAAACAUUGUCCUCCCAGUGAUGCUGAGCUCUGGUGUCAUGGCCCUGAGCCAUGUCCUGGUUUGCUGGUUGCUGGUUUACAAGCUUGGCCUGGGCAACAGUGGUGCUGCCUUGGCCAAUACCAUCUCUUACCUGGUCAAUUUUUUAGUCUUGGCUCUCUAUGUCAGGUUCUCUCAAUCUUGUAAGAACACAUGGACAGGGUUAUCAACGGAGGCAUUUCAUGACAUCCUUAGUUUCUUGAGGCUCGCCGUUCCAUCUGCUCUGAUGGUUUGGUGAGUGUAAGUUGAUCUGUCUAAUUGCAGGCAGAGUUAUUCGUGUUUCAUUUUCAAUUGAUUUCAUCCUACAUUUUCACAGUUUGGAGUGGUGGUCAUUCGACCUCAUGGUACUUCUUACUGGAUUUCUCCCAAAUCCUAAGCUCGAGGCGUCAGUAUUGUCCAUCAGGUGAAGAUAUGCAUGACUUAUAUUGUAUGGGGUUAAUUUGAUAUAUGCCACUGCAAUUCUUUCAAAUUUGGAAAAUUCCACUGCAGUUUGCGUCUUUCAGGAAAUGCCACGACAAUGGGUCAAAAGGUGCCAUUGCAGUUGCAUUUUUUCGAAGAUGAGAACUGCAGCGGCAGUUUUUGAAUUCGCAAGAGUUGCAGUGGCAUAUAGUAUCAACUAACCAUUUUUAUUUGGUUGCCUUUUUCUGGUAAUAACAAUUGACUCUCCUGCAGUUUAAAUACGGUUGUGUUAGUAUUCAGGAUCCCCUCUGGGCUUGGUGCAGCUAUAAGGUCAGAUUGAACAAGUCAAACUCGUAAACCUUUACCAUGCCAAAAUGUUUAUCCAUCAUACUUCUGGCAAUUAUACUGUUAUCUCAACCCACAAAAGGAUCGAUGAUAUCCUUUAUCUCACCUUUGUAGCACCCGUGUCGCAAAUGAGCUUGGUGCUGGGCGACCGCAUGCUGCCCGCCUAGCUACCCGUGUGAUCAUGGCCCUGGGUGUCGUGUCAGGCGUAUCACUCGGUCUUCUUGUGAUUUUAGUGCGCAAUUUGUGGGGUUAUGCAUACAGCAACGAGGAGGAAGUGGUGAAGUACGUUGCCAGAAUUAUGCCCAUUCUUGCCGUCACAUUCUUGUUUGAUGACCUGCAGUGUGUUCU
rnacentral:lncRNA from 1 species